rnacentral:lncRNA from 1 species
UCUUAAGAGUUGAGUUAAAAGUCUCUCAGGAACAUUGUUGAAAACAGAAUUCUUUUCAAUGUCUGAAAUUCUAGUUGACUUCCAAAUACAGGUGUAGGGAAGAGUGUCUAUUGUUCACUGUAUUAACUGGAACUUCUGUUUGCAUCGGCUUAUAUGCUUAAUUGUUCAAGCUUGUCAUGAUGUCCAUCUUUCCCUGUCCUCAAGACAUCUUUUGGAAAUAAGCUAACUCUUCUGAAUCAACAUUGUUGGAACAAUAUCACUUCUAUUCUGCCUUUUUACGCAGCAUAAGUAAAUUCUGACAGGUCCUAGGAGUACUAUACAGAGCCAUGGCACAUUCCCAAGAUUAGAGGAAAGUUUAGGUGUCUGAACUGCUUAAGGACAGAGAAUUCAUUAGAUAACAAUGUUCUGAGCUAGGAGUAGAAGCCCAUCUACCUGUGCAGGUUUUGUGUUUCUUGAAGCUGAGUAAAGACACAGUCAUUUUGCACAUCCCUACCAUAGACACAUAGUUGGAAGGCAACUUUACUUGCUGUAAAGAAGGCUCUCUUCCUUGACCGCUCUCACAUUGUUGGGCAAGCAGCCUCUAGUGGCCUAUAUGAUUUUAGUGCACCUGAGGAACAAGAAAGACAGUGAGGAAGCAAAAUCAUGCUGAGACUGAAUGAACUACAUACAAUCAAUUCAAUACAACUAUCUAAAAUGAUUUGGGAGACAGAAAACAGUGCUUCCAGAAGAAUGACGUUCAGUCUGCCAAACAGCGUCGAAUGGAGAUAAAAAUGACAAGGACAGAAAAACAAAAGAAUCAUGCAGAACGAAAAGCCUCAUUUAUCAGGUCAGAAAAUCCAGUCCUCCGAAGACCCGUGUUAUGCCAUUUAUAAGCUAGUUCACAUUCUUAAGCACCAACAGGUCAUUUUCUCAGGUACUAUCUGAAGACUCU